AUUGAACGCUGGCGGCAUGCUUUACACAUGCAAGUCGAACGGUAACAGGCCGCAAGGUGCUGACGAGUGGCGAACGGGUGAGUAAUGCAUCGGAACGUGCCCAGUCGUGGGGGAUAACGCAGCGAAAGCUGUGCUAAUACCGCAUACGAUCUAUGGAUGAAAGCGGGGGACCGUAAGGCCUCGCGCGAUUGGAGCGGCCGAUGUCAGAUUAGGUAGUUGGUGGGGUAAAGGCUCACCAAGCCACCGAUCAGUAGCUGGUCUGAGAGGACCACCAGCCACACUGGGACUGAGACACGGCCCAGACUCCUACGGGCGGCAGCAGUGGGGAAUUUUGGACAAUGGGCGCAAGGCUGAUCCAGAAAUGCCGCGUGCAGGAAGAAGGCCUUCGGGUUGUAAACUGCUUUUGUACGGAACGAAAAGGUUUGGGUUAAUACCCUGGGCCGAUGACGGUACCGUAAGAAUAAGCACCGGCUAACUACGUGCCAGCCGCCGCCGUAA
rnacentral:rRNA from 1 species